AAGAAAUAUCUGUAUAUUAACAGUUGUAUGACUGUAUAUUUUAACAGAAAUUGUCCUUAGUACGUGAUUCACAGGUGUGUUUCUGUUAAUUUACACUUCGAAUUGCAUUAUGGGAACUUCAUCUCUGCCAAAUCAGUUUCUGGCGGCCAUAUUCCAUCCAUGUACAAAGCGGGAUAGAGCGGUAUGAAUUUGACCUGCAUUUCAGCGGUAAGUAGUUUUAUGGAAAAUAUUAACAAGUGACUGUUAUUUUAGCAGUAUUAGUUUUUAAGUGUUAUAUUGUCUGUUUUGGUAGCAUUCAAUUGUUAAUUUUUGAUCGUUAAUGCUAAUAACGUUAGCUAAUAUUGACGUUAGCUAACGUGAGCUGGUGUUCACAACGGCAUUACCGUGUGCUAUCAGCACUUUGGGAUUUGGAGAUUAAAAAAACAGAUUUUUUACCAACUGAGCAGCUUUGUAUGAGGUAUUUUUUGUAACGUUAGGUCAAAUAAGAACCCAUUAUGCCCCACUUCAACAUUAUUUGUGGGUCCUUAUCUAUGAAUUAUUUACAGUACAUUGUCCGUAUUUUUAAUCUGAGC